CCUACGGGAGGCUGCAGUGGGGAAUAUUGGGCAAUGGGCGCAAGCCUGACCCAGCAAUGCCGCGUGAAGGAAGAAGGCUUUCGGGUUGUAAACUUCUUUGACAGGGGAAGAGCAGAAGACGGUACCCUGAAAACAAGCCACGACUCACUACGUGCCAGCAGCCGCGGUAAUACGUAGGUGGCAAGCGUUGUCCGGAUUUACUGGGUGUAAAGGGCGUGUAGCCGGGAAGGCAAGUCAGAUGUGAAAUCUGGAGGCUCAACCUCCAAAUUGCAUUUGAAACUGUUUUUCUUGAGUACUGGAGAGGCAGACGGAAUUCCUUGUGGAGCGGUGAAAUGCGUAGAUAUAAGGAGGAACACCAGUGGCGAAGGCGGUCUGCUGGACAGCAACUGACGGUGAGGCGCGAAAGCGUGGGGAGCAAACAGGAUUAGAUACCCUAGUAGUC
rnacentral:rRNA from 1 species